rnacentral:rRNA from 1 species
GUGGGGAAUAUUGGGCAAUGGGCGAAAGCCUGACCCAGCAACGCCGCGUGAAGGAAGAAGGUUUUCGGAUCGUAAACUUCUAUCCUUGGUGAAGAUAAUGACGGUAGCCAAGAAGGAAGCCCCGGCUAACUACGUGCCAGCAGCCGCGGUAAUACGUAGGGGGCAAGCGUUGUCCGGAAUGAUUGGGCGUAAAGGGCGCGUAGGCGGCCCGGUAAGUCUGAAGGGAAAGUCCUGCUUUUAAGGUGGGAAUUGCUUUGGAUACUGUCGGGCUUGAGUGCAGGAGAGGUAAGCGGAAUUCCCGGUGUAGCGGUGAAAUGCGUAGAGAUCGGGAGGAACACCAGUGGCGAAGGCGGCUUACUGGACUGUAACUGACGCUGAGGCGCGAAAGUGUGGGGAGCAAACAGGAUUAGAAACCCGUGUAGUCC